rnacentral:rRNA from 1 species
UGGGGAAUCUUAGACAAUGGGCGCAAGCCUGAUCUAGCCAUGCCGCGUGUGUGAUGAAGGCCUUAGGGUCGUAAAGCACUUUCGCCAGGGAUGAUAAUGACAGUACCUGGUAAAGAAACCCCGGCUAACUCCGUGCCAGCAGCCGCGGUAAUACGGAGGGGGUUAGCGUUGUUCGGAAUUACUGGGCGUAAAGCGUACGUAGGCGGAUCAGAAAGUAUGGGGUGAAAUCCCAGGGCUCAACCCUGGAACUGCCUCAUAAACUCCUGGUCUUGAGUUCGAGAGAGGUGAGUGGAAUUCCGAGUGUAGAGGUGAAAUUCGUAGAUAUUCGGAGGAACACCAGUGGCGAAGGCGGCUCACUGGCUCGAUACUGACGCUGAGGUACGAAAGUGUGGGGAGCAAACAGGAUUAGAUACCCUGGUAGUCCACACCGUAAACGAUGAAUGCCAGUCGUCGGGCAGUAUACUGUUCGGUGACACACCUAACGGAUUAAGCAUUCCGCCUGGGGAGUACGGUCGCAAGAUUAAA